rnacentral:rRNA from 1 species
CCUACGGGAGGCAGCAGUGAGGAAUAUUGGUCAAUGGCCGUAAGGCUGAACCAGCCAAGUCGCGUGAAGGAAGAAGGAUCUAUGGUUUGUAAACUUCUUUUAUAGGGGAAUAAAGGUAUCCACGUGUGGAUAUUUGCAUGUACCCUAUGAAUAAGCAUCGGCUAACUCCGUGCCAGCAGCCGCGGUAAUACGGAGGAUGCGAGCGUUAUCCGGAUUUAUUGGGUUUAAAGGGUGCGUAGGUUGUUUUUUAAGUCAGCGGUGAAAGUUUGUGGCUCAACCAUAAAAUUGCCGUUGAAACUGGAAGACGUGAGUGUGUUUGAGGUAGGCGGAAUGCGGGGUGUAGCGGUGAAAUGCAUAGAUAUCACGCAGAACUCCGAUUGCGAAGGCAGCUUACUAAGCCAUAACUGACACUGAAGCACGAAAGCGUGGGGAUCAAACAGGAUUAGAUACCCGGGUGGUC